GUGCUCGAAGGUUCAGCUUCUACAGUAUCUUGUGACCGCAAGGUGCUGCGCGCGGCGACGACGACGAUGAAAGUAGGAAUGGAUUGAAGAAGCUGAAAAAACCAGCUACAGAAGCGACGGAGAGUGUUGACAAGCGCAUGAAACCAAGGAGAAAAGCAUAUGCAAAAGAAGUAGGCAAUGCAAAAGAGAGGUGUUGGAAGCAGCAGCGAGGCCAGUACUGACAAAGCCAACGGACCAGAGAAGUCUCCAAACCUCAGAUGGGUUGGCAGUACUUCGAGCGAAACGUUGAGUGGGAUAUUGAGAGAAGUGAGAAGGAAGAAUAGUGUCAAAAUGGCUAGAAACAGCAUGGCCACGGCCCUGAAAAAGAAAUUACGCUCAUGAUCAUUGGCAACGAUGUUGAGUACUGGAAAGAGACAGGUUUCAUUUGAAGAGUUGAGAACGAGAAGGAAAAGGCUUAGCAUAGGUGGAACAGUAAAGCGCAGAUCAAUGUUGGAGACCAUUUUCUCCUGAGCCUAAGUAAUUGAAGUUUUUCAACCCGAUCAAACCUAGUUUGUGUUGCAUCCGUUACCAUUAUCUUCUUAAUUUAUACAACUUUUGUGUGGCAUCCAAAUUCAUUGGUCCUAUCAAGCAUGGCCCACAAAACGCGUCAAAGAAACCGCGUUAAAGAAAUGUUUCACAGGCACAUAACAAUUUCGUAUUUGACUACGGGAAAUUUUCGGCGUUUUGUAGUCCUUGUACUGAGGGUCCAGCUAACGUGCAGCUUAGGUAUGGGUACCCCUCAUUUUGUCCGGUUUGAGGUUUUGUAGUCCUUGUUCGGAGGGUCCAGCUAACGUGCGCCGUAUGCAUGGUACCCCUCAUUUUGUCCAUAUAUUAUAUUGGUGCCUCCAUUUUGUCCAUAUAUGAGGUGGCCGUUGAACCCAUCACAAAACUUACUUUAAUGACGUGGAAGUAUUUUCUUUGGCUUUUAUCAUUGAUAUCCUUACUAUUUUUAAAAAAGAUAAAAUAGUCAAAAACUUGAUUCAUAAUUUUAAAUUUUUAUAUUUUGAUCAAUUGACCUAAUUUGACUAUUAAAAUUAAUGAUAGUGUAAAGAUUAUAAUAUGUAAAACCUUUUAGUGCAUAGAAUCUUUUUUAUUUUUUGAAAGCAACAUAAUAUUGACUUCAUCUAUAAUAAAUAAGUUAAAUAUAUAAUAACAAUAUUUUAAUUUAUCAAUAAUAAUAAUAUUUUUAAAAGCAGAUAUAUAUAAUCAAUUUACUCAAUAAUAUAUAAUUCAAAAUAUAUAAUUAAAAUUUAAUUUAUUAAUGAUAAUAUGACCAAAUACAAUGUAGAAAAUUUCAUAAUAAUCAGCUAUGGUUUAGUAUUCAAAUGUAAAUGAUAGAAAAUAUACUCAAAAGUAUAAAUAAUAGAAAUAUAUUGGACUUCCUAUCAAAAAAAAAAAAGAAAUAUAUUGGACUUAUGUGUUAAAAUUUGAAUGCUUCUAAUUUUUUUUUCACUUUUCAGCAAAUAGGAGGGAGCAUAAAGUAAUUUACCAAAUAUUAGGGGUACCAUAGCUUCGUCAUUGUACUGAUGGGUCUAUCUAGGGCUGGCAAAACCCCGAGCUAGGUCCGGGUAUCGUAAUACCUAGACCCGGCCCGAAUGUAAAUUUUAGAUACCCGGAUUAAGUUUUUUAUGUUCGGCAUCGGGUCGGGUUUUUUAAUAUUAUAUGUGUAUUUUUUUGGUAAUUUUAUAAGUUUUAAAUUUAUUUCAAUAAAAUUUGACAUGAAAAUAUAAAAAUUUUAAGUGUUUAAAAUUUUAUAUAUGUGUAAUAAAUUAGUCAAAUAAAUAUAAUUAUUUAAAAUAACAUAUCUUUUAUAUUUUUUUUAAUAAAAUUCGGGUUUUAAGUUUAUCAAGUGAUGUUCAAGAUCGGAUCGAAUUAAUACCCAAAAUAACAUAUCUUUUAUAAUUUUUUUAAUAAAAUUCGGAUUUUGGGUUUAUCAAGUGAUAUCCAAGACCGGAUUAAAUUAAUACCCAACCCAAAAUACCUGGGUCCGGCCCGGGUUCGGACCAAACGAAUAUUUUUGCCACCCCUAGUUGUAUCUCCACUUUGCUCCCCUGCAGUUAGUAUUUCGUUUCAUACAUGUUUUAUAGACGAGGGCAAUAUCGUAAUUGAACACCUUAAUCUUAAAAAAUUCACAUUGAGUUUUGGAUUUUGUGUGAAAUUUGUUAAUAUCUAGUGGGGCAAUACACUGAAACAUGCCCUUACUCAUCAAAUAUUAACAAAAACAUUCAAACAGCGCUCCUCACUUUCUUCCACCAAAUCCGAAGCAACUAAGCUUAAAACCCAUAUAAAUUUCUCUCUAAUGCUUUGAUCAAGUACCUUGGCCACAACCAAGAGACUAUGACGACGAAGCCAAUGACUCUCAUACCGUCAACGAACGAUUCAUGACCGUGAGGUAAGAGAGUACCGACCAGUGAGUUUUUCCGGCGACUGGCCAAUGAGGUUGAGGUAUGUAUGAACAACUUUCAGUGCAUGUUAGUUUUAGUUUGCUUUCUUGAUGUGUUGAGAAAAAUGUGAAAUGGGUCUUCAAACUUGAUUGAGAAUGUGGCUGAUGCUUCUUAUUUUGUCAUCGAUUAAUGUUAUUUGUAGUUAAUGGAAUAAUCCAAUUGCAUGUUGAAAAUGAAUUGAUGCUUAUAGUUAGUAUUCUGUUCAAACAAAAUGUUUGAAUCCUGUUGUGGAUAAUGUUCUGGUAUUUGACAUACCUUGGUUGAAAAAUAUGAAAACGGGUUGCUUGCCAUUUUAUGUUGGGUCAGUGAGUUUCGACUUUAAGGUUCACAUAAAUGUCUUAUUUUGGUUGCAUAUCAGUUUGAAUUUCCUCAAUAAAAUGUGUCAACAGUGAAGCUGCUUAAUAGGUCUUGAUAUUGGCAUACAUUGAAAUGAUGAAGUAAUUGUUCUAUAAUGUGAAAAAAAAAAGAUAGAAAUUUUGUGAUAGAUCCAACUGCAAUGACAUGAUGAAUUGAUGAUUGCCAAUAACUUGUUGUUUCUGUUAUAAAUAGAAUCUUAAUCCCUUUGCAUUAAAUUUCUGCAAAAUGUUGUUAGAUUGAGUGUAUAAAUGUGAGCUAUCGCUGCUGUUGGACACUAAUUUAUCAAGUAUAUAUUGUAGUAUUUUGUGCAGCAUGACAGUGUUUGACAGUGACAAACAUGGUUGUUUGAAUCUGAUUGUAUUUGUGUUUACAUUAUCAUUAUCCACGUGUUAUAUUACGUUUGUUCAAAUAUCAUUAUCCAUACAAUAUACCAAGAUAGAUAAGUAGGUACUGAUGGAGAGCCUCAGCCUCAAACUGGAACAAUUUCACUGGGAGGAGGGUCUGCUUCCUCGACCGAAAAAGUGGUGCUCGAAGGCUCAGCUUCUACAGUAUCUUGCGACUGCAAGGUGCUGCGCGCGGUGACGACCACAAAAGUAGGAAUGGAUUGAAGAAGCUGAAAAACCCAGCUACAAAAGCGACUAAGAGUGUUGAUAAGCGCAUGAAACCAAGGAGAAAUGCAUAUGCAAACGAAGUAGGCAAUGCAAAAGAGAGGCGUUGGAAGUAGCAGUGAGGCCAGUACUGACAAAGCCAACGGACCAGAGAAGUCUCCAAACCUGAGAUGGAUUGGCAGUACUUCGAGCGAAACGUUGAGUGGGAUCUUGAGAGAAGUGAGAAGAAAGAAUAGUGUCAAAGUGGCUAGAAACAACAUGGCCACGGCCGUGAACAAAGGACUAUGCUCAUGAUCAGUGGCAGCGAUGUUGAGUACUGGAAAGAGAAAGGUUUCAUUUGAAGGGUUGAAAACAAGAAGGAAAAGACUUAGCAUAGGUGGAGCAGUAAAGCGCAGAUCAAUGUUGGAGACCAUUUUCUUUCUCAGAAGCCUAGGCUAAGUUUGCGUUGCAUCUAUUUGCCUUCUAUUAUUUUCUCUAUAUAAUCUUCCCCUUUUUGUUUUUUGGCGGCGUUGGGAGAUCAGUGGGUGGCGCUUUCUCGCAUGGCCCACAAAACGCGUCAGAGAAACCGCGUUCAAAAAAAGUUUCGCAGGCACAGAACAAUUUCGUAUUUGACUAUCGACAACUACGCAGAUCUUCCCGCUGAAGAUCUGCCACACACACACACAAUUAAUUUGUUCUACAAAUAAACGAAUCACAAAAAAGUAAAAUAAAAUUUAUUUUCAGUUAUAUAUACAUUUAUCAUUGUACCAUAUUUCAGUGAAAUAUCAAUAUAACUUUUUUUUUUAAUUUGUUUUGAAGAGGAAGGAAAAAACUCCUGCUGUAUUAAUGAAUUUGGAUGUGAAAAUGUACAUGUAUUAUUUUUAAAAAAAUCUGAAAAUAAAAAUUUAGGAAUGUAUUUGAUAUUAUUAUUUUAACUGAUAAAAGGGUUAACAAUUUUAUUUUGACCAAGUGAUUUUUAAGGUUUUUUUUAGCUCGAAUCGUGAAGGCGGUCGGGGAUAAAAAAUUAAUUUAAACUUUAUCAAACCUUUUUAUAUAAAAAAAAGUAUAUGACAAAGUUUGCAUGGUAAAGGCGUUGCAUUUUUUCUAUGGAUUUUAAUUUUUCUGUUACAGUGCUUAAUUAAAUAAUUUAUUGGAAAUUAAUUUGAAAUAUUUGAUAUUCUUUCCACUUAUUAAACUAAAAAUAACAAUAUUAAUUUAAAAACAUAAUAAAAUCAGUCUACAUAAUUUUGUAUGAUUUAACUAGAUCCUUAAAUUUUCCUAAUUAGUUCAAGAGACUUAUUAGUCAAGAAAAUGGCGAGAACACUUUCUAAUUAACAUGUUUUUCUUUCUGGCGUUUCUAAAUUUAAAAGCAAAAACGGAAAAUGGUUCUUCAAAUAGGACAGAGCUAAGAUAUCUUUUUGGGUUUUCUUGGGCUGGCUGAUUGGAUGGGCUCAAUAAUACGAUUGAUGAUUUUUUCACCGGGUCUUACAUUAGACACAUUACCCUGUAGAUGCUGAUUCCAAUGAUUUGCGUGCUAAAUUUUAGAUGCAUGAAGCAUGAAGCAUCAAAUUGUUCUCUAAUUGUCCAAUUUAAUUUGUUGUUAUUAACAUGAUCAUUAUAUUUUCUAAGAACUAGUGUUUCACUGGCUGACAAUUAGUGAGCAAUCUGGUCAGGAAACUCCUCCAGCCAAAGUUCAUUAUAACGGCAUCGCAGCCUAUAUCAAUUCUUGACUUGCGCCUUGAAAGAUAUUAAUAGAUGAUUCUUCAUUUUUAUUUAGAUCCAACAAGUUAACGCGAUGCGUCCAUUUAAGUUUAUAUUCUUCAAUACAAAUAAAAAAAUGGCUGAAAAAAUGUGCGGAAGUAUGAGAUGUUGUCUUCCUCUGGAGUAUGGAGAUAGUGGAACGAUUCAGAUUGCGGUUGAAAAGUGGAACAAUAAUCUCUGUCCCCAGACAAAAUGCUUGCGUCAGUGUGGGGCUUGAAACUGUGCUAGAAAUUCUUCCCCAUUUUUCAGCUACACGAUAUGCAAUGAAUCAGUGUCAUACUAGGUUACGUUUUAAAUAACUUACAAUCCAACAAAUUAUCACCAAGUCCUCGUUGUAUUAUCGAUAUUUAUACUAAUUUGAUUGACGAUUAAUUACCGUAAAGGCUAACAUCAAGAAAGCAACAGAAACUGAGAUAUUCCAAGCGGAGAGUUGAAAUGAAGUUUGGUUGAACUGAAAAUGAGGAUUAUGCAAAGAACCAUCAGGACAAUGGCGAUGAGAAUAACUUAGUCGUUAAUAUUUGUUAAAUAUUUUAAUACUGUAAUUUUUAAAAUAUGAUUGCCUAAUCUCAAUAUUAAUCAAAGUUUAUGUUAGGACAAUAAGCACAUUUUCAUUGGUUUAAAAAUAAACAUCAAAUUAUAGAAUACCUUUGACUUAAAUAUUUAAUAUUUAAUUUAAUUUUGACUUAAAAAUUUAAGUUAGGAGAAAGAGAAAAAGGAUAUUCUUUUUCUUUAUUUCAUUUUAGUAUGCUACUUCUUAAAUUUUAACUUAGAACUCGUUUGACUUAAAAAUUAUAGCAUAUGCAUUAAAAACACAUACCUAAUGGGAUGUCAAAUUUUAGUAUGCUACUUGCUAAGAUUUUUUUUUUCCCACUCUUACUAUGAAAUUGGCUGAUUUCAACUAUAGGUAUACACGUGACAUUUUUAGGAAAUGAGUUCGCUGAUGAUAUAGUACACCUACACCCCUUUUUAUGUAAACUUUGUCCAAGGGACUCUGCAGCCAAAGGAGUUAGAAGUUGUUUCUUGCAAUUUUAAUUUUCAGGUUUAGAGAGAGAGAGAGAGAGAGUGUGUGUGUGUGUGUGUGUGUGUAGCCAUCCUACUCCUAUAAAUUAAUCUGGUACCUACUCAUCUCUCUAUCUUAAAAAAAAAAGAAAAAGGAGUUGUAGUUCUUGCAUAUGUUGAGUCAAAAACUCUAAAUUCUACACCACUAAUGAAUUCAUGAUUUGGCAGGUAUGCAUUAUAACGACGAUGUGUCCAAAAGGCUUUCUUUAUGUGUGUCUUGUCCCAAACUUGACAUAUUACCCUUCUUAUUGGGCUGAUAGGCCCAGAACCCACAAGAUUCUUAGUUCGUACCCACUUUUGGUUAUGCAUAAAUAAUGUACGUAUUAUCGCCAUGCAUGGCCACUAGCAUAGUGGGAAUUUUUAUAUCAUGAUGUACGUUACAUCAUAUCAUUAAUAAUAACAGCACUAGAUUUGAAAUGUGGGGUGGAUUCUAUUGUUAUGAUUUAAAAGACCUCUAGGAUAUUUUAAAAAAAUGUCUGAACAAUGAUAACACCGGUACUCCUUAGGACUCUUGGGCAUUUUAGAGGGGUCAAAAGGAAAAGUAUGAAGAAUAAAAAAAGAGUUGUAGCAAGAUGAAGGCAUAGUGAGCUAUUUAAAGAAGAAGAAGAGAAAGAGUGUUACGAUUAAUCUCCUUCUUAUUUCCAUACCAUCCAACAUCAUGAAAACAUAUAUGACUAUAGCUAAUGUUACUAUAGGUAAGGACGUUUCUUAGUUGCAGUCAGCAUAAGCAACAAUCCCAUGUGAGGUAUUUGAUAAUUCACUAUGUGAAGUUGACGUGACAUCGAUUUGCCUGCAACUAGUGCUGGCAAUAUAUAAGAAACUGUAUGUGACGUGGACAAUUUUUUUCUUAUAUAAUUUUAUUUAUAUUUGGGUUUUGAGCCAAAAUAGUGAUAGCUGAUAAUCAGCCUGAAACUGAGAGAGAUUUGGGUAGAUUAAACAAUGUUUCCAAUCGAAGAGACUGUUCCUAAUGUGAUCCAAUUUUCUCCAUGUCACAUUAUGUAUUGUUUAAUUAAUUAGUGCAUUGAUUUAAGUGAUUGAUACAUUAAUUCGACCAUCUCCAUCUCCUUCUUAAGUUAUUGGUAUUGGAUUCAAAAAAACUUUUGCAAGUUUUUAUUUUUACCUUUUGGUUUAUAUAAUAUCUUUAAGUUAUUACCAAGAUUGAAAUAAUUUUUUUAAUAGAAGUUAUAAUUUUAUAAAAAAAAAAUUACUGAUAUUUGAACAGCAACAAAAUAACCGUAAAAUCAUAUAGUGUAACAAUGUUAAAUAAAAAAGCAAUACUUAACAUUAUAAUACCAUACACCAUAUGAUUUUACAAUUAUUUUUAUCGCUAUUCUAUCACGGGUAGGUUCUUCAUCAUUUUCCUUAUAAAAAACAUGAAUUAGUCAUUACAUGAAAUUUCUUUUUGUUAAAAGAUGUACGAAAUAGUAACCCAAUUUUAGAUAACAGUCUAACAAACAAAUGCCACCAAUAAAUAAUAACCCAAGAGGUUUCUGUUAGCGAGAAUAAUGAGUGGGAAUUAGAAGUUGUUUCUUGCAAUUUUAAUUUUCAGGUUUAGAGUGUGUUUAGCCAUCCUACUCCUGUAAAUUAAUUUGGAACCUACUCAUCUCUCUAUCUUAAAAAAAAAAAAAGGAGUUGUAGUAUUCUUGCAUAUGUUGAGUCAAAACCUCUAAAUUCUACACCACUAAUAAGUUCAUGAUUUAUUAGGAGCCGCCUAUGUUGCAACAGUUGCAACAUACCACUAUUUUUGUCAUUUUGUAAUUUAACCAUUGGAUCCAAAUUUCCUGCUGUACGGCCAAGGCGGAUGUACGGUACAGCAGAUUUUGGUUUUUUUCAUUGCAAUCCCUCUUAUGUUUUGAAAUGCUAGGAAAAAGUAUAAUUAUAAUUAUUUUAUUUAUUAGAUUAGUUGUUAAAUGAUAUGAAUAAGGAAUAAGUAUGAAAUUUAAGAGGACUUUUAUUAUUGAUAUUAGGCAAUUACAAUGCAUGAUUUAAUACUCGUUUAUUUAUUCCACAAAUUCAUAAAUAUUUCGUAAUUUAUUAAUUAUUACUAUCAUUUCUAGAUCUAAUUAUUAUAGUAAAAAUAAAAAUAUAAUUUAAAUAUAUUUAAUGUUUCAAUUAAGACAAAAGUUAGUACACUGUAGUGAAUUAUAUAAUUGACUACAAUCUAACUUUUAAAACUUCCAAACAUUGGUAAGUAAUUAAUUAAUGUGAACAAUAUUAUAACAAUAUACAAUAUUAUGUUCUAAACACAUUCUAAUGGUGCGUUUAUUAAAUAAGAAUUGAAAUGAGCUAGAAUUGUAAUAAGGAAUUUGAAUUAAAAUAAGUUAUUUACUUGAGCUAUAGGAAUUGGAAUCGAAAUGAACAACAUUCUCAUUGAUGUGUUUACUUUAUUUUAUAAUUGGAAUAGACUAUUAUAAGUUAUUAAAAUGCCAUUUGUUAAUUGUGCCCCUAAUAUUAUUUGUAUAUAUUAUAAUUAAACAACAAUAAUAAUAAAACUAAAAAUAAUAAUUAUUUUUUAAUAAUAAUAAUAACAACAAUAAUUAAUAAUAAUUAAAAUAAUAAAGUUAAUAUAUUUUAAUAACAAUAAUUUUAAUCAUAACAAGAUAAAUAUUAAUAUUAAUGAAUUAAUUACAGUAUAAUAACAAUUAAAAUAAAUAAAUAAAUAAAUUUUAAUAAUAAUAAUGACAGUAAUAAUCAUAAAUAAUAAUAAUUAAAAUAAAUAAAAAUAAUAAAAUUUAAUAGAAAUAAUCUUAUAUAAUAAUAAUGAUAUUAAUAAUAAUCAUUAAUUAAAAUUCUUUUCAUUCCAAAAAUGGACUUAUAUGUAAAAUUUUAGUACAUCCGCCUUGGCCGUACAGCAUAAGGUAGUGUAGUGUAAUCAAACACAAAAUGACAAAAAUUAUUGUAUGUUUCAACUGUUGCAACAUAGGCGGACCCGAUUUAGCAGGUAUGCAUUAUAAUGACAAUGGGUCCCAAAGCCUCUCUCUGUGUGUGUCUUGGCCCAAACUUGACAUCUUGCCCUUCUUAUUGGGUUGGUAGGCCCAUAAUCAAUAAGAUUCUUCAUACGUGCCCGCUUUGGCUUAUGUAUAUAUAACGUACAUAUUAUCACCAUGCAUGACCAUUAGCAUAGUGGGAAUUUUUAUACCAUGAUGUGUGUUACAUCAUAUCAUUAAUAAUAACAACACUAGAAGUAGAAUGGCGUUGUCGGCGAGUCACGUUGGAGCGACGAACGGCGUGCAGCUGUUAUUGCGGAGGAGUGGUUGCUGGACUUGUCUCAGAGGAGCAGCUGCUGCGCGGUGGAAAGGUGGAGAGGAGCAGAUGGCUAGGGUUAGGGAGCUGAUACUUAUAGUUUUUACUCUUUUUUUAUUAUUAACUUUGAUUUUUGUAAAAUGUGCUUGGUAGGUUUUGGGUUAGGUUAGGGUUUUUUUUAAUUGAUUGAUGAAUUGAAUUGAAAUGCCAAGAUGCAAAAUGACUUGUGAAAUGGGUAUCUGGAUAAUUUAGUUCUUGUCCUUCUUGAUGGAUUGGUUUCUUAAUUUCGUCCCAUUGUUGUUUUUUAUGUGAUUGCAGAGUGUUGAAGUCAGUGACUAUUUAGUAAUGGUGAUUUGUGCAUGGCUGCAUUUGCUUAACGUGUCACCAGCCUCAUUGUUUUCUAAUUUUUGGAUUCGGUCAUCAGUGGGGUAGUAAUAGGAGGUGGCCAUGUAUGUGUCUAUGGGACAUGAGAAUAACGAGUUAGUAUUAAAACUAUUUUUUUUUUAUGAAGGUUGUUUUCAUAAUUUUAAUAAAAAUUUUGUUAAUAUAUUUUUUUUGAAAGGUUGCAGCUAUUUGAACCCUUUAAAAUGUUCUUUAGACUUAUUUUUUAAUAAAACGUUUUUAUUACUAAAAUGUCCUUGAUGGAAAUUACUGUUAUAGGCAAAAAAAAAUAUAUUUUUUUAAAGUACAGAAUGAUAAUUAAAUGCAAAAAAAAUAUUUACUACUCCCUUUUUAAUCCAUCUCUUCUCGGACAAAGAUUGAAUGAAAUUGUUUGAUAUUUGGGAAUAAUUUCUUGAGGACAAAGCUUGAAUUCAGCCAAUAAACUAUUUUUGUAGACUAUUCUUUCAAUUUGGGCUAUAUAUUAUCCUCUCUCCCUGGUCAACAUUUCAUUGUAUAUAUUAAAAGUAAAGAGCCAUGUGGGGCAAAAACGGAUUGUUAAUUAAAUUAAUGUGGUUACUGAUAUUGUUUUAUUAUUGUUGGGGUUUCCUCCGUCUUCUAUAUGCUUUUAGCCUUUUUUCUUUUUUUAGUAUGUCCGGAAUUGAAAAGAGGAUUUGUAUAUGAUCACGUUAUUUUUUUCAGCAUUUGUAAAAUCCAUGGAAGAAGAAGUUACAGAAUCAUUAUAAUCUAUUAUAUAUUGUAAGGGAGAUUAAAAUGUGUUUGUAAAGGAAAAUAAAAUUUUUAUAUUUUUUAAGUGAGUUUAUUGAGAAAAUGAGCGUAGUGGUAUUUUUAUGGCUUCGGAUAGUCCUCCCCCCUGUUGAGAAUUAUUAAAUUGUCAUUUAACUUAUAUUACUAAGUUUCCACCCCAUAUAAAAACAAUUGCUUUACUAGUUUUCGUUACGGUCCAGGUAGCUAUAACUUUGAGUACUUAGUUUGUAAUAGUUAAGUUGACUUAGAGAGAGACUAGUUAGAAAAUAAAAUUUUGAAUUGUCCGCAUCUAGUUUUUUUAUCAUGCUAAUAAAGUACCUGGUAUCAAACAUAAAAGUUCUAUGUGCAUUUCUUAAUUGAUUGUAAUUAUAUGUGCUGAAUUCUUGAUUGAUUUAUUAAUUAUUAUAUAAUUAUAUAUUAUUAUAAGCUACAAUGUCAAAUUCCAUUAUUAAUGAGUUAUAUUAUUUAGAGCCUUGAAAAGUAUAACUUUGAUAGUAUUUUAUUAUUUGAAUUACAUUUGAAUUACUUUUCAUCAGUUCUAUAUAAUUACCAUUACUCAGAAUACAUAGUUAUGUAGGUAAAGCUCCUAAUAUCCCCUUAUAAGGGGAACUAUUUUAUGCUUAUAUAUAUAACAUAUCAUGUUUACAAAAGUUUUUAUUUAAUUCGAGUACUAUAAAGUCUUGCGGUCUGCCCUACUCAACAAUAUUUGUUUUUAUGACUUUGUUCAGUAAUUUCAUUUAGUUGACAUUUUAUCCGUAAAUUUACUUAUUUUGACCUAAAAAAUUAUCCUUAUAUAUUUGACCCCAUCUUUUCCGUUCUGAUAAAUGGAGUUACCACGUUCCAAACAUUUAUUUUAACUUCAAAGAACUAUAUAUAUCUUUUUUUUUUAGUACAAAAACAUAAACAAACAUGGAAAGAAAUAAAAGAAAAAACAUGCGACUGCGCAUGACAACUAUCUAGGGCUUCCACAUUCACCGGAAACAGCAAAAUAGUAAGGGAAACUAUUAAGUAGCUAUAUAUAAUAAAUGGAAAAUAAUUUUUGAACAAAAGUAAGAUAAAACUGUAACCAAAUAUUUUUUAUGUUUUUGUGAAUUAUGAAAUUUUCUAUCCACGUUUUAUCUUGCGUUUGUUCAAAUAUCAUUAUCCAUAUAAUAUACAUAGAUAGAUAAGUACGGUACUGAUGGAGAGCCUCAGCCUCAGACUGGAACAAUUUCACUGGGAGGAGGGUCUGCUUCCUCGACCGAAAGAGUGGUGCUCGAAGGUUCAGCUUCUACAGUAUCUUGCGACCGCAAGGUGCUGCGCGCGGCGACGACAACGACGAAAGUAGGAAUGGAUUGAAGAAGCUGAAAAAACCAUCUACAGAAGCGACGGAGAGUGUUGACAAGCGCAUGAAACCAAGGAGAAAAGCAUAUGCAAACGAAGUAGGCAAUGCAAAAGAGAGGCGUUGGAAGCAGCAGCGAGGCCAGUACUGACAAAGCCAACGUACAAGAGAAGUCUCCAAACCUCAGACGGAUUGGCAGUGCUUCGAGCGAAACGUUGAGUGGGAUCUUGAGAGAAGUGAGAAGGAAGAAUAGUGUCAAAAUGGCUAGAAACAGCAUGGCCACGGCCGUGAACAAGGGACUAUGCUCAUGAUCAGUGGCAGCGAUGUUGAGUACUGGAAAGAGAAAGGUUUCAUUUGAAGAGUUGAGAACGAGAAGGAAAAGGCUUAGCAUAGGUGGAACAGUAAAGCGCAGAUCAAUGUUGGAG
rnacentral:lncRNA from 1 species